rnacentral:misc_RNA from 1 species
AGAUCCAUGUCCUCCUCUGCUAGAAGAAAUAGGGAAGCAUAUUGUACAACAAUGUCAAGGAUUACCUCUCUCGAUUGUUGUGGUUGCCGGACUUCUUGGAAAAAUGGACUUAACGCAUGACAAUUGGAAGAACGUUGAGGAAAAUCUGAGCUCAUUCUUUGGUACAGUAUCUGAACGGUGCCAAUCAAUACUGUCUCUGAGCUACAAUUACUUGCCCCAAUAUUUGAAGGCUUGUUUUCUCUAUGUUGGAGGUUUUCCAGAAGACAGAGAGAUCAAUGUUUCCCAGUUGAUUAGGUUAUGGAUUGCUGAGCAAUUCGUAAAGGCAAGAAAGGAUAAAAGAUUAGAAGUGGUGGGAGAGGAGUAUCUACAAGAGUUAGUUGAUAGAAGUCUAAUUUUGACAGGUAAACAAAGUGCUAAUGGAAGGAUGAGAAGUUGCAAAAUUCAUGAUCUUCUUCGCCAGCUAUGCCUAAGUGAAACUCAUACUGAAAAUGUUGUGCAUGUAAUCAAUGGGAAUGUCGUCGUGUCUUCAGUAGAAGUAAUAGAUGAUCAGCGGCGAGUGAUAGGUCUGCAUAAACAUAAAGAGAAGCAAG